UCAUUGUACUAUCCGUGAGCUGUAGGGUGCCACCAGAUGUGAACAACAUAAAAGAAGAAAGAAGUCCAUCAAAUUCAAGAUCUUCGGGUUUCCACAUCCAUGAGACUCGAACAACGAAAGUACCCAUCUCCAGCACUGUUGCGAAGUUACGUGAGUUAGCCCAGUGCCUGAUUGCCAUCACCCUGACUUCGCCAGGCAAUUAUUUUUGAGAUGGCCUUAGCUGUAGGCCUACAGCGUGAGUGCCAGCUGUAUAGGUAAAUCAAGACCACGUAUGGCCAACUUUCUUAGAACAUGCUAUCCACAACAUUUCUGCCAAAUUUUAUGCAGUAGCUGUUUAGCUCGUGUUAGGUGGUUCCAGGAAAAAAAUUUCUAUGUUCCAAUUCUGGGCUCCUGGCUUCCAGCUGGACUGCAUCACGGACAUACACUGCCUGGUGCCCGGGAGAGGAGAAACUGGUUUGCUCAUUCAUGUAAACAUAUUCAUGGAAAGCUGACUCCACAGGCAAGAAGAGGCUAUUGUUUCUGUCCAUCUGGGGCAGUUUUUCAUUUUGUUUUGUUUUGUUUUGUUUGAGGAAGAUUAGCCCUGAACUAACAUCUGUUGCCAAUCCUCCUCUUUUUGCUGAGGAAGACUGGCCCUGAGCUAACAUCCGUGCCCAUCUUCCUCUACUUUAUA
rnacentral:lncRNA from 1 species